CCAAUAGCGUAUAUUUAAGUUGUUGCAGUUAAAAAGCUCGUAGUUGGAUUUCGGGUGGGACGCAGCGGUCUCGCAUUGCGUUUGUACUGCUGCAGCCCUCCUUCUUGCCGGGGGCGGCCUCUCGGACUUCACUGUCUGGGGGUCAGAAUCGGCGAUGUUACUUUGAGUAAAUUAGAGUGUUCAAAGCAAGCUUACGCUCUGAAUAUAAUAGCAUGGGAUAACACGACAGGACUCUGGCCUAUCGUGUUGGUCUAUAGGACCAGAGUAAUGAUUAAGAGGGACAGUCGGGGGCAUUCGUAUUCCGUUGUCAGAGGUGAAAUUCUUGGAUUUACGGAAGACGAACAUCUGCGAAAGCAUUUGCCAAGGAUGUUUUCAUUGA
rnacentral:rRNA from 1 species